rnacentral:rRNA from 1 species
GGGGAAUAUUGCACAAUGGGGGAAACCCUGAUGCAGCAACGCCGCGUGAGUGAUGAAGGCCUUCGGGUUGUAAAGCUCUGUCUUCAGGGACGAUAAUGACGGUACCCGACAAGAAAGUGACGGCUAACUACGUGCCAGCAGCCGCGGUAAAACGUAGGUCACAAGCGUUGUCCGGAAUUACUGGGUGUAAAGGGAGCGCAGGCGGGAAGGUAAGUUGGAUGUUUAAUCUACGGGCUCAACCCGUAUCAGCAUUCAAAACUAUUUUUCUUGAGUAGUGCAGAGGUAGGCGGAAUUCCCGGUGUAGCGGUGGAAUGCGUAGAUAUCGGGAGGAACACCAGUGGCGAAGGCGGCCUACUGGGCACUAACUGACGCUGAGGCUCGAAAGCAUGGGUAGCAAAC